rnacentral:rRNA from 1 species
AGUGAACGCUGGCGGUAGGCCUAACACAUGCAAGUCGAACGGCAGCACAGUAAGAGCUUGCUCUUACGGGUGGCGAGUGGCGGACGGGUGAGGAAUACAUCGGAAUCUACUUUUUCGUGGGGGAUAACGUAGGGAAACUUACGCUAAUACCGCAUACGACCUACGGGUGAAAGCAGGGGAUCUUCGGACCUUGCGCGAUUGAAUGAGCCGAUGUCGGAUUAGCUAGUUGGCGGGGUAAAGGCCCACCAAGGCGACGAUCCGUAGCUGGUCUGAGAGGAUGGUCACCCACACUGGAACUGAGACACGGUCCAGACUCCUACGGGAGGCAGCAGUGGGGAAUAUUGGCCAAUGGGCGCAAGCCUGAUCCAGCCAUACCGCGUGGGUGCAGAAGGCCUUCGGGUUGUAAAGCCCUUUUGUUGGGAAAGAAAAGCAGCAGGUUAAUACCCCGCUGUUCUGACGGUACCCAAAGAAUAAGCACCGGCUAACUUCGUG